GGAGUUGGCAGCCAGUGGUCCUGGGGACCGCGAGAAACACUCUGUCUUCCUGCUUUGAGGACAGCUGAAGUCUUGCCACUUCUUCUGGAUGCUCUGACCAUCAGUAAGCCACCUCAGUCUCACCCUCCGCAGAAUGCAGGCCCACUCCGUUGCUGAAGGGCCUCCUCCUUGGGCCAGGGCGCCUGCUUCUGCCAGUGGCAUCAUCACCCCACUCCUCAGCCGCCAGUCAUCAGAGACACGGUCUGACUUUGUUACCCCGGCUGGAGUGCAGUGGUGCAAUCAUGGCUCACUGCAGCCUUAACCUCCUGGGCUCAAGUGAUCCUCUCGCCAAGGCUAGGAUAAGUAGCUAGGACUACAGAUGCGCCCCAUCACGCCCAGCUAAUUUUACAACUUCUGUAGAGAUGGAGUGUUGCUGGGUUGCCCAGGCUGGUCUUGAAUUCCUGGGCUCAAGCGAUCCUCCUGUGUCCGGAAUUGGUGGGUUCUUGGUCUCACUGACUUCAAGAAUGAAGCCGCGGACCCUCGCGGUGAGUGUUACAGUUCUUAAAGACAGCGUGUCCAGAGUUUGUUCCUUCUGAUGUUCAGAUGUGUUCAGAGUUUCUUCCUUCUGGUGGGUUCGUGGUCUCGCUGGCUUAGGGGUGAAGCUGCAGACCUUCGCGGUGAGUGUUACAGUUCUUAGGGCGGCGCGUCUGGAGUUGUCUGUUCCUCCCGGUGGGCUCGUAGUCUCGCUGGCUUCAGGAGUGAAGCUGCAGACCUUCGCGGUGAGUGUUACAGCUCAUAAAGGCAGCGUGGACCUACAGAGUGAGCAGUAGCAAGAUUUAUUGCAAAGAGCAAAAGAACAAAGCUUCCACAGCGUGGAAAGGGAUCCCAGC
rnacentral:lncRNA from 1 species